AUGGAUAUUAAAGAAACUAAAAACUAUCGCCGGAAAAUGUUGAAGAAAUUCAGUAAAUAACAAUAAAUUUUGUUUUUUUUUUCACAAAUUUUCUAUAGAAAUAUCUCUAUGAGACCCAGUAGAGGUGGUGUACAUAAGAAAUCAAAAACUAUGGAUUAUACAAAUUAUGCCUAUAAUGAGGCAGUGGGUAGAUUAAAAAUGAUGUUAGCUGACUCAUAUACAGCGCCCAAGACAAACACCACCUGUUCGUAUUUGAGAAGUUUUAAUGAUGAUUCAGCAGAUAAUUAUUCGGAUAAUAUGUCGACCAUAGAUCGUCCAGUGUUUGCGGAUAUUUCUAAGUAUUUAUCGCCAAGUCAAAAAUCUCGCUUGGGUGGUGGCAGUUAUCGUCCGAAGAAAACUUUAAGUGGAUUUUCUGCCUCCAAGGAGAAUUUAACUUCCCCGGCCAGACAAUAUCAGACCACAGUUCUACCUACUGCUGCGGUCAGUAGCUCAGGGGCUGUGGAUUAUUAUGCCUCUACACCAAAAGCACAAAUGCCACCCACUGACAGUGUCCAAGCUCCGGUAGAAAUUUUUAAUUUUAUCGAAAAACAAGAGGAUUAUAUAGAACAAUUGGAAAAGGAAUCGAAAUAUUGUCGCAAUGAAUUGUCCAAUCUGUUGGGUAAAGUUAAAGAUGUGAUCAAUGAAAACGAACAGUUAACCGAACAUGCUCGUAGUGAAUUGAAUAAUCUGGGUAAAAGUGAAAAAAUAACCACUAGUCCUUCCUCGGAUAGUGAUGAUAUUUUAUAUACAAAUAAGAAAACUUCAACUCCUCGCAAAAAAGAAGUUAAAAGUCCUCGUUAUGCCUCAGCUCCGAAUAUAGUGUAUGAGGCUCGUAUUAGUGAACUGGAGGCGGAAUUGAUGCAGGCGAAUAUAGACCUAAAACGUGUUAAAACCGAAAAUGAUGAUCUUAAAAAGAAACUGGCACGAUCAGAUAUAUCUACUUCAUCCAAUUCGGCUUUGAAUUGUGAAGCUCAUCGUAAACAAAUAGAAUUAUUGCAAAAAGAUAAAACCACCCUGGAGGAGACCAUUAGACAAUUGCAUAAAUCUUUAGAUGAGGCCAAAUCUCAGCAAUACUCUCAAUCUUCUAAGCGUUAUAUCAAUGAUCUCGUACAAAUGGAAAGAUCACAAGCUGAACUGGAAGUACGUCAUUUAAGAGAUGAACUAGAUCGUCAGCAUGAACGUGUGCGUGAACUACAACAUGAAAUGGCUAGACGUUUGGCUGAUGAACGUGCCAAUGCCGAGAGACGUUAUAAUAAUCAAGUUGAUCAGUUGGGUGGUGAUCUCAGCUCACAGUGGGAACAAGUUGCCAAACUACAAUUGGACUUGGAGAGACAAAAACGCUAUGAAAAUGAUCUGAAACGUGAUUUAGCUAAUCGUAAUUCACAAAUUGAAGAACUAAAAAUGGAGCUCAGAGCUAAUCGUUCCACUUUCUUGGCCGACAUGGCUCAAGUAAAUGCCGAGAAGCAAUCGUUGGAACAAGAGAUCACCGCUUUACGUUUGCAACUUGAUCGUGCUUCGCGUGAGAAUAAAACCGAGGCGGCUCGUUUAAAUGCAGAAAUUAAUUCGUUGAGACAACGUUUAGAUCGAGCCGAUGCCGAUUUGUUGCAUUCGAAGAGGGAAGUGUUGCGUUUGAACGAUGAAAUUGCCAAUUUGGAAAAAGAGCUGGCGUACGGUGAAAUGAAAAAUGAAAUACGUCCCACUAAAAAGGAUUUGGAUAAACGUAUUUCCGAAAUGCAAGAAAAGCAUGAACGGAAAUAUCUUCAUUACAAUCCAAUGUUGAAUAUUUAACAAAUCGCAUGUUAAACAGCGAUCGUCUUGGUAAAUUAGAUAAUACACCAACAUCUUACAAUAGUUUACCAUCAACAGCAGGCAAAGCCUCUCUCGACUACAAGCCGUCCACAUUUGGCACAACCAACAACGAUCCUCCACGAUCCAUUACAGAUGACUACAGCAGCAGCAAGACCAAUCCUUACAGCUACGACUCCAUACUGGGAAAAACAACAGCCGGUGAUACCA
rnacentral:misc_RNA from 1 species